rnacentral:rRNA from 1 species
CCUACGGGUGGCAGCAGUGGGGAAUAUUGGACAAUGGGGGAAACCCUGAUCCAGCGACGCCGCGUGAGUGAAGAAGUAUUUCGGUACGUAAAGCUCUAUCAGCAGGAAAGAAAAUGACGGUACCUGACUAAGAAGCUCCGGCUAACUACGUGCCAGCAGCCGCGGUAAUACGUAGGGGGCAAGCGUUAUCCGGAUUUACUGGGUGUAAAGGGAGCGUAGGCGGACGCGCAAGUCAGGAGUGAAAGGCCGGGGCCCAACCGCGGAACUGCAGUGGAGACUGUGAAGCUGGAGUGCAGGAGAGGUAGGCGGAAUUCCUGGUGUAGCGGUGAAAUGCGUAGAUAUCAGGAAGAACACCGACGGCGAAGGCAGCUUACUGGACUGUAACUGACGUUGAGGCUCGAAGGCGUGGGGAGCAAACAGGAUUAGAUACCCUGGUAGUC